CGGGUGUAGUUUAGUGGUAAAAUAUGAGCUUCCCAAGCUUAAGUCGCGAGUUCGAUUCUCGUCAUCCG
rnacentral:tRNA from 1 species